rnacentral:rRNA from 1 species
UCGAGAAUUUUUCACAAUGGGGGAAACCCUGAUGGAGCGACGCCGCGUGGGGGAUGAAGGGCUUCGGCUCGUAAACCCCUGUCAUUUGCGAACAAGGCUUACGACCUAACACGUCGUGAGUUGAUAGUAGCGAAAGAGGAAGAGACGGCUAACUCUGUGCCAGCAGCCGCGGUAAUACAGAGGUCUCAAGCGUUGUUCGGAUUUACUGGGCGUAAAGGGUGCGUAGGUGGUGAGGAAAGUCUGACGUGAAAUCUCCAAGCUUAACUUGGAAAUGGCAUUGGAAACUACCUUGCUAGAGGAUUGAAGGGGGGACUGGAAUGCUCGGUGUAGCAGUGAAAUGCGUAGAUAUCGAGCGGAACACCAGUGGCGAAGGCGAGUCCCUGGACAAUUCCUGACACUGAGGCACGAAAGCUAGGGGAGCAAACAG